rnacentral:rRNA from 1 species
GGAUUAGAUACCCGGGUAGUCCACGCCCUAAACGAUGUCAACUAGUUGUCGGGUCUUCAUUGACUUGGUAACGUAGCUAACGCGUGAAGUUGACCGCCUGGGGAGUACGGUCGCAAGAUUAAAACUCAAAGGAAUUGACGGGGACCCGCACAAGCGGUGGAUGAUGUGGAUUAAUUCGAUGCAACGCGAAAAACCUUACCUACCCUUGACAUGGUCAGGACCUGGCUGAAAGGCCGGGGUGCCCGAAAGGGAACUGACACACAGGUGCUGCAUGGCUGUCGUCAGCUCGUGUCGUGAGAUGUUGGGUUAAGUCCCGCAACGAGCGCAACCCUUGUCCCUAGUUGCUACGCAAGAGCACUCUAGGGAGACUGCCGGUGACAAACCGGAGGAAGGU